rnacentral:SRP_RNA from 1 species
GCUGGGUGUGGUGGCGCGCCCCUGUAAUCCCAGCUACUCGGGAGGCUGAGACAGAAGAAUCGCUAGAACCUGGGAGGUGGAGGUUGCAGUGAGCCGAGACUGGCCACUGCACUCCAGCCUGGGCAACACAGUGAGAUUUUGUCUCAA